UACAGAGGUCUCAAGCGUUGUUCGGAUUCAUUGGGCGUAAAGGGUGCGUAGGUGGCGGGGUAAGUCAGGUGUGAAAUCUCGGGGCUCAACCCCGAAACUGCAUUUGAUACUGCCUUGCUCGAGUACUGGAGAGGAGAUUGGAAUUUACGGUGUAGCAGUGAAAUGCGUAGAUAUCGUAAGGAAGACCAGUGGCGAAGGCGAAUCUCUGGACAGUUACUGACACUGAGGCACGAAGGCCAGGGAGCAAACGGG
rnacentral:rRNA from 1 species